rnacentral:tRNA from 1 species
GGUGCCUUAGCUCAGUUGGUAGAGCAAUGGACUGAAAAUCCAUGUGUCCCUGGCCCAGACGAACCG